rnacentral:rRNA from 1 species
UACGUAGGUGGCAAGCGUUGUCCGGAAUUAUUGGGCGUAAAGAGCUCGUAGGCGGCUUGUCACGUCGGGUGUGAAAGCCCGGGGCUUAACCCCGGGUCUGCAUUCGAUACGGGCAGGCUAGAGUGUGGUAGGGGAGAUCGGAAUUCCUGGUGUAGCGGUGAAAUGCGCAGAUAUCAGGAGGAACACCGGUGGCGAAGGCGGAUCUCUGGGCCAUUACUGACGCUGAGGAGCGAAAGCGUGGGGAGCGAACAGG